rnacentral:rRNA from 1 species
GGCGCACGGGUGAGUAACGCGUAUCCAACCUGCCUUGUACAGGGAGAUAACAGUUGGAAACGGCUGCUAAUACCGCAUAAGCGCACGGCAUCGCAUGAUGCAGUGUGAAAAACUCCGGUGGUAUAAGAUGGACCCGCGUUGGAUUAGCUAGUUGGCGAGGUAACGGCCCACCAAGGCGACGAUCCAUAGCCGACCUGAGAGGGUGACCGGCCACAUUGGGACUGAGACACGGCCCAAACUCCUACGGGAGGCAGCAGUGGGGAAUAUUGCACAAUGGGCGAAAGCCUGGUGCAGCGACGCCGCGUGAGCGAAGAAGUAUUUCGGUAUGUAAAGCUCUAUCAGCAGGGAAGAUAAUGACGGUACCUGACUAAGAAGCACCGGCUAAAUACGUGCCAGCAGCCGCGGUAAUACGUAUGGUGCAAGCGUUAUCCGGAUUUACUGGGUGUAAAGGGAGCGCAGGCGGUGCGGCAAGUCUGAUGUGAAAGCCCGGGGCUCAACCCCGGUACUGCAUUGGAAACUGUCGUACUAGAGUGUCGGAGGGGUAAGCGGAAUUCCUAGUGUAGCGGUGAAAUGCGUAGAUAUUAGGAGGAACACCAGUGGCGAAGGCGGCUUACUGGACGAUAACUGACGCUGAGGCUCGAAAGCGUGGGGAGCGAACAGGAUUAGAUACCCUGGUAGUCCACGCGGUAAACGAUGAAUGCUAGGUGUAGGGGGUAUCGACCCCUCCUGUGCCGGAGUAAACGCAAUAAGCAUUCCGCCUGGGGAGUACGGCCGCAAGGUUGAAACUCAAAGGAAUUGACGGGGGCCCGCACAAGCAGCGGAGCAUGUGGUUUAAUUCGACGCAACGCGAAGAACCUUACCAGGUCUUGACAUCGAUGUAAAGCCCAAGAGAUUGGGUGUCUCUUCGGAGGACAGAAGACAGGUGGUGCAUGGUUGUCGUCAGCUCGUGUCGUGAGAUGUUGGGUUAAGUCCCGCAACGAGCGCAACCCUUAUGGUCAGUUACUACGCAAGAGGACUCUGGCCAGACUGCCGUUGACAAAACGGAGGAAGGUGGGGAUGACGUCAAAUCAUCAUGCCCUUUAUGACUUGGGCUACACACGUACUACAAUGGCGUUAAACAAAGAGAAGCAAGACCGCGAGGUGGAGCAAAACUCAGAAACAACGUCCCAGUUCGGACUGCAGGCUGCAACUCGCCUGCACGAAGUCGGAAUUGCUAGUAAUCGCAGAUCAGCAUGCUGCGGUGAA